UCUGAGGUUACUCUAUGCUUUUAGUCAGUCUGAGGUUACUCUAGUCAGUCUGAGGUUACUCUAUGGGUUUAGUCAGUCUGAGGUUACUCUAGUCAGUCUGAGGUUACUCUAUGGGUUUAGUCAGUCUGAGGUUACUCUAGUCAGUCUGAGGUUACUCUAUGGUUUUUGGUCAAGCCAGCUCUUGUUUCAAUUGUUGUCAACUGGAAAGCACUUUGGCACCUGUUGUUUUUAAAUACAUGUGACUGAAAAAGAAAGUGUAAGCAAAGUCGUGAGGGCUUUAGAAUCUCCUGAUCUCCUAAAAACAGUUAAAGUAAAAAAACAAACAUAAAUAUAGUAAAAAAUAAAGAUAAAACUAAAUAAACAUGGCAGAUGAAAAAGGCAUCUGAAUUUGUUUUGCAAGUAGGGUGUGAAGCAAGCUCUGUUCCC
ensembl:lncRNA